CAAUCACAGGCACUUCCGCUUUCCACACCCCCCACGCACUUCCGGCCUGGAGCCCACGCGCAGAGGCGGAAGAGAGACCUUCAAGCGCCCGCGGGAGAGACCGAGGAGCGAGGAGCGAGGAGCGGGAGAGAGAGGAAGCGCCCCGCGGCGGCGCGGCGGCCGCUACUUACUGUAGGAGUAGCUGCUCACUUCCGAGGCGAACGGGGAGUGGGCCGACUUGGGCUGGCCUCUGGCCUUGAAGCCCACCUCCAUCUUCCUCGCUUUGGCGGCCCGUUUGUGUUUACCUUCUCUGGAAGCCUUGAGGGACAGGCUGAGGCCUUUGGCCAGCGCCUUCCUGUCCUUGCCCAGCAGGCUGUCGUAGGGCGUCAAGUACCUGCCGCAGCCCCCGCCGCCUUUGGACUUCCCCCCAGAACCGUCCGAGAACUUGAAGGGCGACUUGAGCUUGUCCUGCUUCGUGAGGGACAGGGCCUUGUCCAGCUUGCUGGCCAGCUGCUCCUGGUCACUGGCCAUCUUCUUCUUUUUAAUCUUCAGCUGCAGACGGAAGUCGGGAAGUCAUGGGUUAAGACAUUUGGUGAACCGGGACAGUGGGUUUCAGCACACCGGCUCUGAGGAAGCUGGGCUCCAGUCCCUUCCACCUACCUCUGUGGCAAGCUGCUCAACCUCUCUGAGCCUCUGUUCUUCCCGCUGGGUAAAACAGGGACAACUAGGUGCAGCUCAUCUGUUUAACUCGAGUACCUAAAGCAGCCCACGAAGACUGCAGCCCAGCCUAAGUGGGCCCAUCCAACUAAAUGGGCUGAAGCUGCUAAGAGAAUGCCCCGGGUGUGCCUCAGAUGCCCAAAGCGGAACAGAGUGACUCAAGAUCUCACAGAUUAAAUUCCUACUUGCAUGUCUGCUGCAGUCAUUUGUUGUCAAUAUGAAAUGUGCCGUUUCAAAACCAUUAAUGCCCCUCAUUUGCACGUUUUAGCUCUAUUUUCUUUAAUCGGGUAACAUAAGGGGGGGAGAGUUGCUAUAGGGUCAUUUAAACAACGUGAAGUAUCCUUCACAAUUUGCAAGUAAAAGAUCUUAGGAUGUACAGGCUGGCUCUGUUCCCUCCUCCUGGAUCGAGUCUCCCUUUUGUGAAUAUUUCCCUCGGAUGGCCAAAUCAACAGACACAGUCCCCUUGCAUGGGGCCUUAUGAGGAGAGAUGACAAGGUACAUUAGUAUUUAGAGACAAAGGCCUUAAAUGGACGAUUUCAGGGCUCUGCAGAAAUAAGAAAAAUCAAGGAGUUGGCUCUCACCCCAUUACCCCUGGGGAGUUCACAAGGAAAUUACAAUGGCAUCAACCCCUUGUUUCUUAGAACGACAGAAUGCUGAAGCUGCUCAUUAGACAAUUACGCCGUUAAACAACAGUAAUUGCAUUAUUUGGUUAAGAACCUGCAGUCUCUCUUCAUGGCUUCAGCAAAGCAUCAUGGGAAACUAAGGCUCCAAAAAGCCAGCACCCAGUCUGAGGUCACAACAAACACUACAGGAGCCGGGACUCAAAGGUGGAAAAACACGCCCACCUCCAGGGGCUAUGCGCCCUGAUCCAGUGCUGUCUGCCAGCGGCCCAGCCUCUACUGUCUUCAGCAACUGCUUUCCUACUCUCCUUUGACUGGCUAUAAGGGAUUUCUUCCUCUCUCACUUCUCCUCCAACAGGAACAUCCAAGGAAGAUAAAUGUAAGUUGUGGGGGCCCCUUGGGGUGGUCUUCUAACAAAACCUGUGGCCAACCCAGUCUCUCCUCUGCCUUCUGAAGCCACCGUGUGGCCCCCUCUGCUUCCUCAAGCCAAGCAUCAGGCCGCCUAGUGUCCGCCCUGCCCCGAUGUCCCAGGCUGAGGCACACUCCAACUUCAUUCCUCUGACGGGCCUCAUUCAGUUGAUGCUACUCCCUGACACCCAGGAAGACUGCAGCAUCAUUCCUAUCCAUGCUCAGCCUGGAGGAAGAGCUCUCAUUCUAGCCACCAUUCAAGAAAACCUCCAGAGGUGCCACAUGUAGCUUCUGCUGCCACUCAAGCUGUACACAAAGCAGUGGCCCAGGGCCACAGGCUCAGGUGCAACAAGCCAAUAGGUCAGGCCAAGAGGACAGGAAUGACACUGUCAGUCACAUAGGGAACCAAGUGACAGCAUAAGUCAAAGCCUGUCCCAGCAGGGCUGAAGCUCAGCAGAUCCCUUUGCAGGGAGGAGGUGUAUGGAGAAGAGCAGGAAUUAGCCCCUAACCAUGGAAGAAGCAGGUGUGGCAGGAAGAUGGGUGAAGCGCUUAGCUGAUGGCACAGGAACCUCUCUCACUGGGGUCAGCUGCCCACUCAGUGCUGGGUGGAUGAGUCUGCCUGUCCAUUCCGCCACUCGCCUGGCUCACCCUCCUGGCCUGGGCAGUGUGCACCAUGCUCCCUGAGAGCUACCAAACCAGAUGGGUCAGAGCCCGAGGGACUCGAGGUCCCCGGUGCCCAGAUGCAGGCCCUGUGUGGGCCCGCACUCCUCCCCUCCGAGCUCUGUGCCAGUUCCCGACCCACCGAGGGGCCAGCCUUACUUUCCGCUACUGUUGCGGCUCUUCCCUCUCUUGCGGGGGGGCGACAGGGCGCUCAGGGCGUGGGUCCGUUUCCUCGGCCUGCCAGGGCCUCUGCGUGCCAAGCUUCUAUGGGGUUCCUCGCGCCUGUCCCUUAAAAAGAAUCACACGCUUGGCUGUGAACCUGGGGGGUGGAGGGGGCGCGGAGAAGGACAUACGAUACACACAUGUCACUCGGGUCCACACACACCUCUAAUGGCCUACCACAGCCAACCUACUGAGCGCCAGCGCCUACAAGAGCCCAAUCAGGGCACCGCCUGCUACAGCCUUGUCACCCGGCUGGCCGGGGCCACGGGAUAUGGCUAGGGCGCACACUCACUCGGAAUCACGGCGUCUCUGCAGCUUCACCAGCUCUCGCUGCUUCUCCUUGUACCGCCGCUGGACCUCAGCCAGCCGCAUCCGGAAGUCCAGCUCCAUGGCAUCCAUGCUUUCCAAGGAGGAUUUCAUGGCAUACAUCUGCAGGGAGAGCGGGGUGAGGAUGCCAACGCCCACCAGCUCCCACUGGCUGAUCAAGCGUCCACCCAGAUGGGGAUGGCGAGGCUUGAUGGUAACAGGGGCCCAGCUCAAACCCCUCCUCUGCCACUUACUAGCCAGGGCCCUGUGGGCAGAACACAGGAUAGGAACCAAAACCCAAUUUUGCAGGACUGCAUCAAAGCCAAAGUGGCCCCAGACAGCUGCUCAAGCAAUGUGGGCCACCGUGUUAUCCAUCACUUACAGAUGGAGGCUCAGAGAGGUGAGGAGCUUGCCCAGGGCUCACAAGCAGCAAGGGGCACAGCCAGGCCUGCUCUUCCCAACCCAUCAGGCUGUCACCCAUUAUCACAUAAAUAAACUGGGACCCUGAAAGGGGAAACAGCUUGCACAGGCCUGUACAGCAAGUCAAUGGCAGAAGCUGGACUCAGAUCAGGCCCUUUCAACUCCAAAGCCAGCCAUGUCCCCAGCAAGGUGGCAUCUCUGGGGGACUCAGCUACAACCCCACCCCUUAGGCCACAGGUAGGCAAAAACAGGCCCAGGACACCUCACCCGCUCCUCCUUCUUCUGCAUCCAGCUAUACUUCUUGUUGGGGUUCAGCUCCCGCGGAAGCCGCAGAUUCUUGAGCGGGUCCACAAAGGGGCUGUCCAACACCUCCUUCAGCAUGUGGCUACUGGCUGCCAGCAGGCUCUCCAGCGAGGGCCGUACCGCCAGGCCCCGCUCCGCACCUACAUACAGGAGGCAGGUGAGCCCAUGCCUCUGCGCUGGCCCCGCCAUGCUGCCUGGGGGUAGGAUUCACGGAUACUGCAGCCAACCCCACUCAGACCCCAAACAGGGAGGAAAAUGAGGCCCAGGACCAGCUCAGGGCUUGCCCAAGGUCACAUGGCCCCCAGGAUGCUGACUGGACUGCGGCUUUUCUGAGAAGCAAGAAAUGGUGCUAAGUGAGGAAAACAAGUGAGAGCUGGGGCACACAGCAUGGCCCUAUCCCAAAUGUCCACUGCUGCACAAAGUCACCGAGAGUAGCCAAGCCACCGGCAGAGGUGCUUUCUAGGGUAUGCCUCUUUCUGCUUAUCUGUCCUUUAAAUAUCCCAUGAGGAAUAUGCAAGGUGUUAAUUUUCAGAAAAAAAGGAACCGAAAUUAAGUUUUAUGAAAUGUAAAAGUAAUACGAGAACACCAAAAAUACAAAACAGGCAUAAAAAUGUGAAAAAAUGAAAACCUUCCCCUACUCAGCACAAAGUUGUCCCCGCCACUGGCGGCACUACCACUGAUGUUCUUGUAGAGGGCCCUGAAAACUUUUGCCCAUACUCAAACAUAUGUGACGUCUGUGGGCAUCCUUUAUAAAUAUAGAAAUGGCACCAAUCCACUCGGAAUCACACUUCACUCCUUUUCACGUUACCGCAUAAUGGACAUUUACCACAUGAUUAGUUUGAAUCUUAUAAAGGCUGCCAUUUCUGCAGGUCAAAAACAACAGAAUUUCAGAAGUUUUCCAUGACCAAACCCACUAACAGCUGCCUAGAAUUCUCUUGUAUUGCUGAGUUUUAAUGAAUCUAAAUAAUCCCCCAUUGAUGACAUUUUAGUCAUUUCUAAAUUUUUUUUGGUACUGGAUAGAGGUAGGCACAUAGGACACAUUUUGUUUUAGGAGAAUUCCUACCUGUAAGAUUAACAUGAUCAAGGUAUGUGAAUUUAUUCCUUUGAUAAAUAUUCCAGCUGCCCUUCAGGAAGGGCACACCGACUCAAUCUCAGCAGUGGCUCAUGGGAGCCCAUCUCCCCUCCAACUUCUCCCAGAGUAAAAGGAGUUUUAAUUUUUUUAA